rnacentral:rRNA from 1 species
CCACGCUGUAAACUAUGAUCACUCGCUGUUGGCAAUACAUCGUCAGCGGCUGAGCGAAAGCAUUAAGUGAUCCACCUGGGGAUUACGAUCGCAAGAUUGAAACUCAAAGGAAUUGACGGGGGCCCGCACAAGCGGAGGAACAUGUGGUUUAAUUCGAUGAUACGCGAGGAACCUUACCUGGGCUUAAAUGCAGAUCGACGUUCCGGGAAACCGGAAUUCCUUCGGGCGAACUGCAAGGUGCUGCAUGGCUGUCGUCAGCUCGUGCCGUGAGGUGUCGGGUUAAGUCCCAUAACGAGCGCAACCCUUAUCGUUAGUUGCCAGCGGGUAAUGCCGGGAACUCUAACGAAACUGCCGGUGUCCCCCGUGAGGAAGGUGGGGACGACGUCAAGUCAGCACGGCCCUUAUGUCCAGGGCUACACACGUGUUACAAUGGUCGGUACAAAGGGCAGCUACCAGGCGACUGGAUGCUAAUCUCGAAAACCGAUCUCAGUUCGGAUUGAAGUCUGCAACUCGACUUCAUGAAGCUGGAUUCGCUAGUAAUCGCGCCUCACUCAUGGCGCGCUGAUACGUUCCCGGGCAUGUACACACCGCCC